UACGAAGGGAGCUAGCGUUGUUCGGAAUCACUGGGCGUAAAGCGCACGUAGGCGGAUGUGUCAGUCAGGGGUGAAAUCCCGGAGCUCAACUUCGGAACUGCCUUUGAUACAGCACAUCUGGAGUCCGGAAGAGGUGAGUGGAAUUCCGAGUGUAGAGGUGAAAUUCGUAGAUAUUCGGAGGAACACCAGUGGCGAAGGCGGCUCACUGGUCCGGUACUGACGCUGAGGUGCGAAAGCGUGGGGAGCAAACAGG
rnacentral:rRNA from 1 species